UCAUCUAGUUUAUCAUCAAUUGAACUUGAGACUAUAGUGGAGUAUUUGUAUAUUUUUCUUGUCACCUUUUUAAUGGAGUCCAAUUUUUUUGUUGUGCAUAAUUUUCUUCAAUUUCAAUUAUGCAUGCUUUAGUUUAUUUCAAAUAAUUAGCUAAGAUUCUUGAACAAGAGCAAGAAAGCGGAUGGAGAGUGUGCAGCUGGGAAAAGGUCGAACAAGUGAAAAUCCUAAUGUCAAUAACUCCAAUCUUCCUGUGCACAAUCAUGUUCAACACCAUCCUCGCCCAGCUCCCGACCUUCUCCGUCCAGCAAGCCUCCUCCAUGAACACCCGCCUCUUCCACUCCUUCCACAUCCCCCUGGCCUCCCUCCAAUCCAUCCCCUCCCUCUCCUCCCCCCUCCUCUCCACCUUCUCCAUGAUCUCCGCCGCGGCGCCUCGUCGAGCACAAGCGACGCAACACCUCCGAUCAUUUACUCUCCUUGUGGUGGCUGGCGCCGCAGUUUGUGAUAUUCGGGGUGUCGGAGAUGCUCACGGCGGUGGGCCUGCUGGAGUUCUUCUACAAGCAGCCGCUGCCGGCGGAGGGGAUGCGGGCGUCGUUGACGGCGAUUACUUAUUGAUCUUACUCGUUUGGGUUUUUUCUGAGCUCGGUGCUGGUUUCGCUUGUGGAUAGAGUGACGGCGGAGGCGGGGUGGGGUGGCUCACGGAUAAUAAUCUUGAUAAUGAUCGCUUGGAUCUGUUUUAUUGGCUGCUUGCGGUGCUUACCUUUCUUAAUUUUCUUAACUAUUUGUUUUGGUCGAAUUGGUAUGCCGUUGGGUUUAAACGAAGAGGGAGUGGUGAUAUUAACGUUGUAUGAAUUUCAGAUUAUUGGAAUAAAUAUUGUAGAUAUAUGUCA